AGGGGACUCGGCACCGACCUGCAAGACCUCAGACGUCAGUGCUCCGUGGCUCUCUCUGAACAACCGGACCCAGUGCCUUGCAGUAACACCAUCUGGGGUAUUCCAGAGGUGCUACCCACCACCUAGGGUUCCUGGGCGAGGAAAACGAGAAAACAGAGAACACAGCCAGUAAGCUGAGGGGCUCCCUCAGGGCCUGGCCCAUGACGAUCUGCAAAGAGGGGCAGAGAGGUGUGUCUGGAAAUGAAAGCGGGAU